CCUCCUGGGUCCUGGAUGAAACCUUAGGAGCCAUGUGCUUAGGCAAUAAAUAACCAGCAAUAAAUGGCUUGCUGGGCAAGUGAUUGCAAGGUGAGGAAGUGUCAGCUAAACUGUUGCACUGCAAAGGCUGGGACUGGAAGGACAUCCUGUUUGGUGAGGCUCGGGACGAUGGACUACCUCUCUCAGCCGUUGUCUACUUGAGGCACUGAUGGAGUCAUGGCAGGCUCACCAUCCUCUGAAACUGCAUGCCUCUGGACAUGCUGUUGGUCCCACAACACAAAGGAAGGUGGGCUCCUUCAGAAAAAUCAACCCUUCUAAGAUCUGCCUGUGAGGCCUCCUGGGUCCUCACAUCUAGCUUAACCUUCUGUAGGUGUCUCACCAUUUUGAGAGGUUAUCCGGAGAGUCCUGCUACCACACCCCACCCUAGUUUUUCUCCAUCACUAGGGAACAGUCUCUGUAGCAAGCCAGCACAGAUGAGACUUGACCCAAGUCAUUCUCAUCCCUGUCUCCACAUCUAGAUUAGGGAUAUUGAAUGGUAGCAAUCCCCUAAAUGUCCCCAACUUCUUCCAUGAAGCCACCCUUGUCUGCCCCUGGUCUUCCCUUCUGCCUUAGAGCUUAAAAAGAUGACUCCCUCUAAAGCCCACCAAAACAGACUGGGGAGUGUCCUGGGAUCUGGGGCUGAGAGAAGAUUGAUCCUCCAUCCCAAGGUCACCACCGACCUUGGCGUGAAUCUGAAUGUCAUAUGGCCUCAGUGAAGCUCAGACCCAAACGUAACUCCCAGUUCACCGCUGGUGAGGUGAAAGCAGGAUCUAAAUGAAGGAGCGAAACUUGACUUCCUGGAGGAUGUUCCCAUAAUGCACAGCAGAGGGCUCUGGUCACAAAUAUAAAGGCUCCAGUUUCCCUGGACUGAAGGCUCUGGGCCCACGCCCGUCAGCUCAGCAUUCCCUCUCCCCUUUUCAUUAAUCUAUUAUACAACAGCUCACAAUGCUGAGAGACCAUUCCAGAGACUUACUUGUGUCACUACACGGGUAAUUAAAUUGUGUAGAUUUACAUUUUAAUUACAUACUGCUUUGUUUCUGCUUCCUUUUUUUUUUUUCCUGAGGGAUAAUACAUGUAUCCCCAGGAGUCAAUUACACCCUCAAUGGGGUGAAAUCUGGUACUUCUGUUCCACCCCCUGCAAAAUCUUACCUAUCAUAUACGUUUGUGCACCUCAAGAAGACCACAAUGAAUACAUAAAUAAAUGCAUAUACACCACAA